CGAUUACGGCUCAGUAACACGUAGCUAACCUACCCUUAGGACGUGGAUACCCCCGAGAAAUUGGGGUUAAUCCGCGAUAGAUGUAAUGUCCUGGAAUGGUAUUACGUCUAAAGGUAUUUCAUACAUGUUUGAAAUAUGCCUAAGGAUGGGGCUGCGGCCGAUCAGGCUGUUGGUGAGGUAAUGGCUCACCAAACCUUUGACCGGUACGGGCCAUGAGAGUGGUAGCCCGGAGAUGGACACUGAGACAACGGUCCAGGCCCUAAGGGGCGCAGCAACCGCGAAACCUCCACAAUGCACUCACGUGCGAUGGGGCUAUCUCGAGUGCCACCUGAUGAAGGUGGCUUUUCCUUGGUCUUCAAAGCCUUGGGAAUAAGAGGGGGGCAAGACUGGUGUCAGCCGCCGCGGUAACACCAGCCCCUCGAGUGGUGGGGAUGAUUAUUUGGCCUAAAACGUCCGUAGCC
rnacentral:rRNA from 1 species